UGGGGUGUAGCCAAGUGGUAAGGCAUAAGACUUUGACUCUUACAUUCGCAGGUCCGAUCCCUGCCACCCCAACCA
rnacentral:tRNA from 1 species